GUAGGUGGCAAGCGUUGUCCGGAAUUAUUGGGCGUAAAGCGCGCGCAGGCGGUUCUUAAAGUCUGAUGUGAAAGCCCACGGCUCAACCGUGGAGGGUCAUUGGAAACUGGAGAACUUGAGUACAGAAGAGGAAAGCGGAAUUCCACGUGUAGCGGUGAAAUGCGUAGAGAUGUGGAGGAACACCAGUGGCGAAGGCGGCUUUCUGGUCUGUAACUGACGCUGAGGCGCGAAAGCGUGGGGAGCAAACAGGAUUAGAUACCCUGGUAGUCCACGCCGUAAACGAUGAGUGCUAAGUGUUAGGGGGGUUUUCCGCCCCCCUUAGUGCUGCAGCUAACGCAUUAAGCACUCCGCCUGGGAGUACGGCCGCAAGGCUG
rnacentral:rRNA from 1 species